rnacentral:rRNA from 1 species
AUUGAACGCUGGCGGCAGGCCUAACACAUGCAAGUCGAGCGGAUGACGGGAGCUUGCUCCUUGAUUCAGCGGCGGACGGGUGAGUAAUGCCUAGGAAUCUGCCUGGUAGUGGGGGACAACGUUUCGAAAGGAACGCUAAUACCGCAUACGUCCUACGGGAGAAAGCAGGGGACCUUCGGGCCUUGCGCUAUCAGAUGAGCCUAGGUCGGAUUAGCUAGUUGGUGGGGUAAUGGCUCACCAAGGCGACGAGCCGUAACUGGUCUGAGAGGAUGAUCAGUCACACUGGAAAGGGGAGACGGUCCAUACUCCUAAGCGAGGCGGCAGUGGGGAAUAUUGGACAAUGAGCGAAAGCCUGAUCCAGCCAUGCCGCGUGUGUGAAGAAGGUCUUAGGAUUGUAAAGCGCUUUAAGUUGGGAGGAAGGGCAGUAAGUUAAUACCUUGCUGUUUUGACGUUACCGACAGAAUAAGCACCGGCUAACUCUGUGCCAGCAGCCGCAGUAA